GAAACAGAGAAAGAGCUCAGAAGAGUCGGUGUUUUCCUGCAGAAAGUUUGCGUAACUCUCACUUUGCUUCAUGUAGCAUUGCUCAGACGAUGCACGGACGCUCUUGGCCUUCUCCCGGAGGAUUGUGGGUAGAUUGCCGACGAUCCCGAGAAGAAGCGAGCGAAGUGAGACCCUUCAAACUUUCUUUGCCAUUCCUCAAUUCUGUUUUCCCCCAAACAAAGAUUUAUACAUAUUUAUAUGAGCCGAUUGACGGGAAGGUGGUCCGGAGGAGGGGAGCAGAAGCGGCGGAACUGCAGAGAAUCGUCCUUCAGCGACUGUCCCGCUCAGUUUGUUUGGAGUCGAACUGUCGCCCAUCUCACGCUGUGAGUGAGUGUGUCUUUCCAAUUUUCAUCAUGUGA
rnacentral:lncRNA from 12 species